rnacentral:lncRNA from 1 species
GAGACAGUGGACUGAGGUGACUCAUUUCUGAAUAGUAAGAAAUGCUUGAAAAGAUUCCCCAUUCACAUUUAGGUGAUGGAACAAUCAUUUGCUGGCUGGCAGUUGUAAUUACUCUCUACUGCAGCAGGCUUGUCACCUCCACUCACUAAUGAUUUCAAGAAAUGACUCAAAAGCAACAUGUCCUACAAAAGGUCUAUGAGCCUAUGGGCCCUGGGAUAAUAUGUAAACACAUCAUCACUGCACCAAAGAAAAAUGAAAGUAAAAAGAAGAAUGGAAGA